UACGUAGGUGGCAAGCGUUAUCCGGAAUACUGGGCGUAAAGCGCACGCAGGCGGUCUUGUAAGUUUGACGUGAAAGCUCCCGGCUUAACUGGGAGAGGUCGUUGAAGACUGCAAGACUUGAGGAAAUGAGAGGGGUGUAGAAUUCCCGGUGUAGUGGUGGAAUGCGUAGAUAUCGGGGGGAAUACCAGUGGCGAAAGCGGCACCCUAGCAUUUUUCUGACGCUCAUGUGCGAAAGCGUGGGGAGCGAACGGG
rnacentral:rRNA from 1 species